AUUGAACGCUGGCGGCAGGCCUAACACAUGCAAGUCGAGCGAGCGGCGGACGCGUGAGUAAUGCCUGGGAAUUGCCCAGUCGAGGGCGAUAACAGUUGGAAACGACUGCUAAUACCUCAUACGAUUGGAUUGCCCAGGUGGGGUUAGCCAGUUGGUGAGGUAAUGGCUCACAAAGGCGACGGCCCCUAGCUGGUCUGAGAGGAUGAUCAGCCAAACUGGGACUGAGACACGGCCCAGACUCCUACGGGAGGCAGCAGUGGGGAAUAUUCCGCAAUGGGGGAAAGCCUGAUGCAGCCAUGCCGCGUGUGUGAAGAAGGCCUUCGGGUUGUAAAGCACUGUCGGCGAGGAGGCGUUAUUCGCAGAGGAAGCACCGGCUAACUCCGUGCCAGCAGCCGCGGUAAUUC
rnacentral:rRNA from 1 species